GAUGAACGCUGGCGGCGUGCUUAACACAUGCAAGUCGAACGAAGCACUUAAGAUUGAUUCUUCGGAUGACGUCUUUUGUGACUUAGUGGCGGACGGGUGAGUAACGCGUGGGUAACCUGCCUCACACAGGGGGAUAACAGUUAGAAAUGACUGCUAAUACCGCAUAACCCGAUAGGAUCGCAUGAUCCAGACGGAAAAGNUUUAUCGGUGUGAGAUGGACCCGCGUCUGAUUAGCUAGUUGGUGAGGUAACGGCCCACCAAGGCGACGAUCAGUAGCCGGCCUGAGAGGGUGAACGGCCACAUUGGGACUGAGACACGGCCCAAACUCCUACGGGAGCAGCAGUGGGGAAUAUUGCACAAUGGGGGAAACCCUGAUGCAGCGACGCCGCGUGAGUGAAGAAGUAUUCGGUAUGUAAAGCUCUAUCAGCAGGGAAGAAAAUGACGGUACCUGACUAAGAAGCCCCGG
rnacentral:rRNA from 1 species